UAAUUAGCCAACUACUAAAAUACAAGAUACGGAGAGUUAAUGGGGUUAAUGGUAGUCAGCUAGCUGAUCUGAGGAGGAUACGACAGGAAGCCGUAGGCUGAUGGUAAAAGGCGAGGGGGGCUAUAUGCAUGUAACAGGCGAGGCUCGGAGCUCAACAAGAACCUCAUUGGGUGGGUGCAACUGUUCAGAGAAGGCAGUGAUGGACACAAGGGUUGGCUGCAGUAAAUAUACAUGAUAUCAUAUUCAUAUCUACCCAGUUCCAAGAGAAUCAGAAGAUAAUACCACAAAACCCUCGUCCUCUAUCUCUUCUACUUCUAGGUUAGGCCCACCCUAAAACUCAGCUGCCACUAUUCUGUCUUUGUCAUCAUCAUCACCGAUAUCGCCGCCGUUUCGGUCGCGGCUGCUGCUGCAACGGUUCGUAUUAUCUUCUUCUCCUUCUUGGUCAGUGUCUCCGUUGUUGCUGUCGCUGUUAUUGAGGCUAUCUCCACCGUUCUUGUUGUCAUGAUAUUUAAUGGGAAGACCAAGAAUCAUGGGGGGCUGUUGCUUCUGGCCGACAAUGGGUUGAGGCUCCGUCAGUUGCCUCCCGUCUCGAGGAGGCGAA
rnacentral:misc_RNA from 1 species